AUGGCCAUGGCUUUCGCCAGCAAAUCGGUGGCUGUGUCAGCCAUCUCCAUGAUUGUCCGCAAGUCUUUCGAUUACCUUGAGAAGUAUGCCAAGGCGGAGGGGAUGAAGUCGGUGCAGGAGCGGCUUGAGAGGACUCUCCCACAAGUCCAAGUUGUCUUUGAUGCAAUUGAUAUGGAGAGGAUAAGGGAUCAGAGCGAGGCGCUUGAUGCCUGGCUUUGGCAGCUCAGGGAUGCCAUCGAGGAGGCAGAGGAUGCGCUCGAUGAGGUGGAGUACUACAAGCUUGAGAAAAAGGUGAAAACUAGAGGUAACAAGGUGAGCAGCUCUCUGUACAAGUGCAAGAGGGUGGUUGUUCAGCAAUUCAAUAGUACUUUUAAGGCUGGGACUUUUAAGAGAUUGUUGGAUGCCAUCAGAAAACUUGAUGAAGUUGUUGUUGGUGUGGAGCGUUUUGUUCGACUCGUGGACCGGCUGGAUUCUUGUACUUCGAGGCACAUAUGCCAUCAGGAGGUUAGUAAUCCUCGUGAGACUAGCUCCUUCAGUGUUGAUGAAAUUGUAAUUGGCCGUGAUACUGAGAGGGAUCAGAUUGUUGAAUGGCUGGUUGAACAAGACAAUGUUCAGGACCAUGAUGUUUGCAGUGUAAAUGCUUUGUCUAUAGUUGGCAUAGGUGGCAUGGGCAAGACCACGCUAGCACAGGCAGUCUACAAUGAUCAAAGAGUGAAGCAGUGCUUUGAUCAGGCUAUGUGGAUUUGUGUGUCCAAUGACUUUGAUGUCCCUGCUCUGACGAAAAAGAUUAUACAAGAAAUCACUAGAGAAGGUACUAAUGUUACUAAUUUCAAUACACUUCAAGAAAUCGUCAGAGAGAAUCUGAAAUCCAAGAAAUUCCUUCUUGUAUUUGAUGAUGUAUGGAAUGAUGAGAGAAGGCCUGACUGGGAGAAAUUAGUAGCUCCUCUGAAAUUUGGUCAAAAGGGAAGCAAAAUCUUAUUGACAACCCGGAUGGAAUCGGUGGUAGAUAUUGUUGAAAGGGUACUAGGAGGAAGAACCAAGUCUCUACGAUUGGAGGGACUGCAUGAGAAAGAUCUUUUAGCCAUUUUUAACAGGCAUGCUUUUUUCGAAGUAAAUCCCAAUGGUUAUUUCAACCUACAGGAGAUAGGCAAGAAAAUUACUAGGAAAUUGAGUGGAUGCCCAUUAGCCGCAAAGAUCAUGGGUGGGCUGUUGAACAACUCUCUGGAUAGCAUAUACUGGAACAGAAUGCUUAGAGAAAAUAUCUCUAAUAUUGAGCAUAAUAGUGAAGGAAUUAUGAAAAUUUUAAGAUUAAGUUAUCAUCAUCUGGCCCCACAUCUACAGGCUUGCUUCAGAUAUUGUGGCAUGUUCCGAGAAGAUUGCUGGUUUCGAAAGGAUGAGCUGAUUAACUUUUGGAUGGGUUCAAGACUAAUUCAGCUAUCUGCAAAUGAAAACCAGAGGCCAGAGGAUAUAGGAGAGUUUUAUUUGGGUAUACUAACAAAGAAGUCUUUCUUUGAACUGCGGUUAAAAAAAUCCACUAAUCUGUAUGAAGGCUAUGCAAGCGAGCUCAUGGAUCUGAAAGAUCUCCGCUAUUUGUGUAUCCGUUGUCUUGAGAAUGUCAAUGCAGACGAAGCUACUUUGGCUAAGCUGGGUGAAAAGGAAAAUCUCAUUAUGUUGUCACUCACUUGGAAAAACAGCCAACAGGAAUCAGACACAGAGGAACGAGUACUGAAUAACCUUCAACCUCACAUGAACCUCACCAAGUUAAAGAUCAAAGGAUAUAACGGUUCCAGAUCUCCAUGUUGGUUGGGAAACACCACUAUCAUCAAUUUGACAUAUCUCUAUAUCUCUAAUUGCAGUUACUGGCAUCAUCUUCCACCUCUAGGCGAACUUCCUUCCCUGAAAUAUCUGUACUUAAUCUGCUUGAACUCAGUGAAAAGAAUAGAUAGUUCCUUCUACGGGUGUGAGCGACCUUUUGGCUUCCCAUCUCUUGAGUAUCUAUUUAUUGAACAUCUUCCAGCACUAGAAGAGUGGGUUGAAAUGGAAGGCGAGCAUCUGUUUCCCCGGCUUAAGGCACUAGUCGUCAGACACUGCAAAGAAUUGAGAAAUGUACCAGCACUACCAUCCACUGUUACUUAUCUUGAAAUGGAUAGUGUUGGUUUGACUACUCUUCAUGAACCCUAUGUGCCUAAUGAAACUGCAGAAACCCAAAAGCCAUCACUCUCUAGGCUGAAGAUCUGUCACUGCCCAUACCUGGAAACACUUGAGCAACUUAACCAGUUUCUUUCUCUGGAGGAACUACAUAUUGAACAUUGUGAAAAUCUGUUGCAAUUGCCGAUGGAUCACUUACAGAUGCUCCCGUUUCUAAAACACAUGACAGUGUUGGGAUGCCCAAAGUUAAUGGUCCCUCCGGCAACCAUCAGGUUGCCGUUGCCAAUGAAAAAACUUCAUGUUGGGUCAUGUGCAGCACUUCCACCUGUUGAAGUGUGCAAGAGUUUGAUAGCGCUAAGUUGUUUGGAAAUCGUAAGCUGCCACGAACUUGCGGAUUUAAAUGGCAUGGAAGAGCUAACAUCCCUCACAGAGUUGAAG
rnacentral:lncRNA from 1 species